rfam:Vigna angularis cultivar Jingnong 6 scaffold268_34, whole genome shotgun sequence.
UUUUUUGACGUAUAUAUGCAUUGAUCAUCCCAUCAGAAUUCCGCAGUUAAGCGUGCUUGGGCGAGAGUAGUACUAGGAUGGGUGACCUCCUGGGAAGUCCUCGUGUUGCACCUC